rnacentral:rRNA from 1 species
AACGAACGUUAGCGGCGCGCUUAACACAUGCAAGUCGAGCGAGAAAGGGGCAACCCCGGUAAGCGGCGCACGGGUGAGUAACACGUAGGUAAUCUACCCUCGGGUGGAGGAUAACUUUCCGAAAGGAAGGCUAAUACUGCAUGAGACCACGACCUCGAAAGGGGAGUGGGGUCAAAGCCGGCCUCUGUACACAAGCUGGCGCCUGAGGAUGAGCCUGCGGCCCAUCAGCUAGUUGGUAGGGUAAUGGCCUACCAAGGCGAAGACGGGUAGCUGGUCUGAGAGGAUGAUCAGCCACACUGGAACUGAGACACGGUCCAGACUCCUACGGGAGGCAGCAGUGAGGAAUCUUGCGCAAUGGGCGAAAGCCUGACGCAGCGACGCCGCGUGAGUGAUGAAGGCCUCGGUUGUAAGACUCUGUGGAGAGGACGGAAUAAGUAGUUGGCGUAACAUCCAGCAUG